rnacentral:Y_RNA from 1 species
GGCUGAUCUGAAGGCUGUAAAUUAUCUCAAUUGACAGUUCAGUCUUUCCCUUCCUUUCACCACUGUACUUGACUAGUCUAAA